CUCCCAUGACUGACACUGGAACCAGUCUCCUGCAUCUUAAGAUACUGAUAAGUUACUGGAGAUACAAUGUCCUUUUCUCCCAUCAGCCUUACCACUGUCCAUUUCCCAGCCUGUUACCUAGGAUUAACUGCACUGUCCUACAUCGCUGGGGCAUUGUGAGCUCACCUGAAGAGGGAACAGAAUAGGGUUUGUGACCUGGGACAAGGUUUUUCUUGCUUGUAUUUCACUCUUGAAAUAGCAGAUUUUUCCUAACCUGGUUUUGGUGGAGCACUUUAGAGGACUGAAGAAUCGGAAUGGGACAGUCUGUAGCCUCAAGAGACAGAACCAGCUGCUCUCCUUCCCCAGCAGGUGAACAGAUCCGAAUUUGAAUCCUCCAACAGCCCUGUCAAGGUGAAUGCUAUUUCUUCACCAGUUCUGCCAGCAGCAGCAUCGUUUCCCUACUGGCUGCUCUGCCCAGCUGCACUGCUUUAUCCUUGGUGGGUCCAGCAGGCUCUUCCUCCAUAGACAGGAAUUGGAGUGCCUAAGUAGCCCCUGGAAUCACAUCUUGCCAGCGUUCCUCCUGCAGCCAGCGCGGCGAGUGCGUGGAGACCAUCGGGAACUACACCUGUGAUUGCUACCCUGGCUUCUACGGGCCGGAGUGUGAAC